rnacentral:rRNA from 1 species
GUGGGGAAUUUUGGACAAUGGGGGCAACCCUGAUCCAGCAAUGCCGCGUGCAGGAAGAAGGCCUUCGGGUUGUAAACUGCUUUUGUACGGAACGAAACGGUCUGGGUUAAUACCCUGGGCUAAUGACGGUACCGUAAGAAUAAGCACCGGCUAACUACGUGCCAGCAGCCGCGGUAAUACGUAGGGUGCGAGCGUUAAUCGGAAUUACUGGGCGUAAAGCGUGCGCAGGCGGUUUUGUAAGACAGGCGUGAAAUCCCCGGGCUCAACCUGGGAAUGGCGCUUGUGACUGCAAAGCUGGAGUGCGGCAGAGGGGGAUGGAAUUCCGCGUGUAGCAGUGAAAUGCGUAGAUAUGCGGAGGAACACCGAUGGCGAAGGCAAUCCCCUGGGCCUGCACUGACGCUCAUGCACGAAAGCGUGGGGAGCAAACAGGAUUAGAUACCCGAGUAGUCC